rnacentral:rRNA from 1 species
CAGUGAGGAAUAUUGGUCAAUGGGGGCACAGCCUGAAGCCGACCAAGUAGCGUGAAGGAUGACUGCCCUAUGGGUUGUAAACUUCUUUUAUAAGGGAAUAAAGUCGGGUAUGUAUACCCGUUUGCAUGUACUUUAUGAAUAAGGAUCGGCUAACUCCGUGCCAGCAGCCGCGGUAAUACG